rnacentral:rRNA from 1 species
AUUGAACGCUGGCGGCAGGCCUAACACAUGCAAGUCGAGCGGUAGCACAGGGAGCUUGCUCCUGGGUGACGAGCGGCGGACGGGUGAGUAAUGUCUGGGAAACUGCCUGAUGGAGGGGGAUAACUACUGGAAACGGUAGCUAAUACCGCAUAACGUCGCAAGACCAAAGAGGGGGACCUUCGGGCCUCUUGCCAUCAGAUGUGCCCAGAUGGGAUUAGCUAGUAGGUGGGGUAACGGCUCACCUAGGCGACGAUCCCUAGCUGGUCUGAGAGGAUGACCAGGCACACUGGAACUGAGACACGGUCCAGACUCCUACGGGAGGCAGCAGUGGGGAAUAUUGCACAAUGGGCGCAAGCCUGAUGCAGCCAUGCCGCGUGUAUGAAGAAGGCCUUCGGGUUGUAAAGUACUUUCAGCGGGGAGGAAGGUGUUGAGGUUAAUAACCUCAGCAAUUGACGUUACCCGCAGAAGAAGCACCGGCUAACUCCGUGCCAGCAGCCGCCGUAA